ensembl:misc_RNA Metazoa_SRP Metazoan signal recognition particle RNA
GCCAGGCACAGUGGCGUGUGCCUGUAGUCCCAGCUACUCGGGAGGCUGAGCUGAGAGGACUGCUUGAGCCUAGGAGUUCUGGGCUGCAGUGCGCUAUGCCGAUCAGGUGUCCACACUAAGUUUGGCAUCAAUAUGGUGACCUUCCAGGAGCGGGGGACCACCAGGUUGCCUAAGGAGAGGUGAACUGGCUCAGGUCGGAAACAGAGCAGGUCAAAACUACCGUGCUGAUCAGUAGUGGGAUCUUGCCUGUGAAUAGCCACUGCACUCCAGCCUGGGCAACAUAGCAAGACCCCAACA